CGCGCAGGUGGUUUCUUAAGUCUGAUGUGAAAGCCCACGGCUCAACCGUGGAGGGUCAUUGGAAACUGGGAGACUUGAGUGCAGAAGAGGAUAGUGGAAUUCCAAGUGUAGCGGUGAAAUGCGUAGAGAUUUGGAGGAACACCAGUGGCGAAGGCGACUUUCUGGUCUGUAACUGACGCUGAUGUGCGAAAGCGUGGGGAUCAAACA
rnacentral:rRNA from 1 species